CUGGAACUGGUGACAGUUAUAUGAUCCAAAAAGCAAAUGUCCUUGUAGUGAAGGAGGUUGGCUGUGUCCAGAAGAGAUGCUUUGUAUCAAAUGGGACCAAACUAGCAGACCAUAUUUUCAUCUGGGAAGGAUAAAUGUGGAGUGGAUGAUGAAAGCCAUCUGUCUCUGUGAUGUGGACUCCUGAUCUCACUGUCCCCGAUGCUACCCCUCUCUGAAUUCCCAGAUGUUCUGUGCCCCACGUGCUCACACUGAUCACCUAGGAUCUUCUACUGUAUUCACUCUGAAGCCUCCUGAAAAACUGACGAUGGGCUUCCAGGACCUAUCAAGUUUUUGGCAAGGAAGGAGGAAGGCCAAGUCAACAUAUGGUCACCAGGCUUCCCAAGGUAAGAGGUAGAUAAUUGGCACCAUGCUGGUGCAAGGAAUUUCCAGGACUGAAGGAAAUGAAGCU
ensembl:lncRNA